rnacentral:misc_RNA from 1 species
GAUCAUUACCGAGUUAUACAACUCCCAAACCCACUGUGAACCUUACCUCAGUUGCCUCGGCGGGAACGCCCCGGCCGCCUGCCCCCGCGCCGGCGCCGGACCCAGGCGCCCGCCGCAGGGACCCCAAACUCUCUUGCAUUACGCCCAGCGGGCGGAAUUUCUUCUCUGAGUUGCACAAGCAAAAACAAAUGAAUCAAAACUUUCAACAACGGAUCUCUUGGUUCUGGCAUCGAUGAAGAACGCAGCGAAAUGCGAUAAGUAAUGUGAAUUGCAGAAUUCAGUGAAUCAUCGAAUCUUUGAACGCACAUUGCGCCCGCCAGCAUUCUGGCGGGCAUGCCUGUUCGAGCGUCAUUUCAACCCUCGAGCCCCCCCCGGGGGCCUCGGUGUUGGGGGACGGCACACCAGCCGCCCCCGAAAUGCAGUGGCGACCCCGCCGCAGCCUCCCCUGCGUAGUAGCACACACCUCGCACCGGAGCGCGGAGGCGGUCACGCCGUAAAACGCCCAACUUUCUUAGAGUUGACCUCGGAUCAGGUAGGAAUACCCGCUGAACUUAAGCAUAUCAAUAA